UGGCAAACAGCAAGCCCUCUGAUAAAUAGCGCUUAUCUAUUGAGAUCCUUUGGAGCUUCCCACUGGAUAUUUGAUAAAGGGGAUCAUAUUACCUGUGCCUCGCAGACUCUAACAAAAGCUCUUCAGUGAAUGUUGAAACUCAGAAAGAUUCUACAAUAUGACCCAUUUUGAGAAAGAUGAAGGAAAUUACUCUUGGGAUGGAAGUCAGAUAUUACAUGGAAGAACGUGGUAGAAGAUGAAGAUAAGAGAUUGUGCUACUCUUCUGUUAGGCGUUGCCUUAUAUCCUCCUGGUUGGGCAGAAAAAUGAAGCAGAAAAAGAAUGACUUCAUGACCUUCAAAAGGGGUAAGUUUUGAACAUGUAGUC
rnacentral:lncRNA from 13 species